rnacentral:tRNA from 1 species
GGAAGGUUCGCAUAGUGGUCGAGUGCGCACGCUUGGAAAGCGUGUAGGGCGUAAAAACCCUCGAGGGUUCGAAUCCCUCACCUUCCGCCA